rnacentral:lncRNA from 1 species
UUGAGGAAGCCCAUGGAUCACCUAAUGGGCCAUGAGUGCUUUCAUAUCCCAACCCAUGGUCCUUAAGUGUCCACAUUCAAUGAAUCUUGAGCUAAGGGGACUUAAGCAUGAAGAAAUUGGAGUUUCAAAAAGUUAUCAACAAGAUCAAGUCAACCCUAGAGAUAUUCAUGCACCCAAAAUAGCAUGAUAUUUCGAUGCAAAAUUGGAGACCUAAACGACCUCUAAUGAAGAAUGUUUCACUACCAAAGUUGUGGCCAUCGUCGAGAGCUUCAAUUUGAACACUUGGAAAGCAAAAUUUGGAUCAUGGAGCUAGGAGAUAUAGCCCCCGAAAUACUUGGUACGCACAGAAGUCUGAAAUUAGACAGAUUAUCUUCUAACACUAUUUUGCGGACCUUAACUUCAUUUCCAGGGAAAGAAAUGAAUACCAAAGUUGGACAUCUUUUUGUGCUACACAAUUUAGGCACUGGAUUUGCCUUAUUUCGAGUUCGGACAUGGGGCAUAUGACGUCGCGUAGGAAGGGCUACAUAAAAGGAAAUUCUAGGCAUGUCAGAUUUUAUGGAAAUCAAGUUUGCUUAGCUCCCAAGCAAGGAGCUCGUGCAAGCGAAGGUGGAGCACGCCCCAAAGCUCACCAAGGGUAUAAAUAUGACCCCCUAGGCGCCUUCAAGGGGGAAUCCAUCCACCAGAACUCAACAAAACCUAGGGCAUUCACUAGAGGGAGCUGAGGGCUACCACAAGUCUUCGAAGUUCUUAAAGAGAUGGCUUAGCCCAAACCCUAGCCACCCUGGCCUCUCUACAUGGUUGUGCUGUGGUGGAGUUCAAGAGCAGUAGUAGAUCAUCGAUAGUAUGUACUCAGAGGUAUUGAUCUAAAUACAUCUAUUAUGUGAGCAAUGUUCUUCAUGCCAUCCGAUCUAUUAGGGACUCAAUGCCUCCUUUUAUGCUUUCUAUCUAUCAUGGAUGCUUGUUCCAAGUCUAGUUCCGGAUUAGACUAUCUAGCAUGCUUGGUGUAAUCAUGGUGAUUACAUCUAGUAUGUCGACCCUUCAUGAUAGUUAGACACGUUCACUUGUGGUUGUGCCCUUAAACUGCCUGCACUGAUAGGGGAGGUCGUGACGGGGUCUGCUUCCGUGUAAGGUGGGGAUUUUCAGGAGGUUGACCGGAAGUAGUACUUUAAAGAUUACUUUGGAUGAGAUACAUGAUGUGCUUGCUUAUUAAAUAGAUCUACAUCUUCUAGAUGAUAGCCUCUUGUCACCCUUGGUUAUGCUAUCCCAUAUGUAUCCGUUGAUGUAAUCAACCUAUCCUCUAUCAUUUAUAUCUAUUAAGUUUACCUUUAUAUGCAAUCAAUGCUUCAAGUUAGGAUUAAUCCGCUACAUUAGAUGGAAACCUCUACUUAGUUCGUUGUUAAUCCACGAAUUAAUAAAUCUUGGACAAAUACUCUUAGGGAAAAGCUACGAUGAUCCGUGCACUUGUGGUUCACAAACUGGCACGCUAACUACCGUCAACAGUGUAAAAGGGUUAACCCUGAGGUGCUAUGUUUGGAGUGACAAGGAUUAUAAAUUGACCCUCAACCCUCCCUCCCCCUGAAAACUUCCAAGGUGGUACUAAACCCACCAACUACAACCACAGUUAGGUCACAUGGGCUAGCACCUUCAACUACUAUGAUAU